GACCGUAAUAAUUACCCCCAUGCAUUGAACACAAAAGGGUCUUAUCUCGACCGUAAUAAUUGCCCCCAUGCAUUGAACACAAAAGGACGGACCAAAACGAAGGCAUGAGGUUACAUGCUUCUAAUUCCAUUCAUUCAAGGUGUUUGCAAAUUGCGUGCGCAGGAAAUCCUAUAGCCAUGAUGUUGCAGAAAUUUUUUUUUUUAUUUUUUUAGAGAGAAAGAUAACAUGCUAUUCGUUUUGUUUAUUUCAUUUAGAAAUAACUUUAGCUGAAAAUAUGAACCAAUUAGGAUUCGAACUUGGAUCUCGGAUACCAACUAUCAAGCUCCUUUGUCACUCGCGCUAGAAACGGUCAGUAGAAAGUUUUCUUCUUGUUCAAUUUACACGGAUUUCUAGUGAAAAUAACUUGCCCCC
rnacentral:lncRNA from 1 species